rnacentral:rRNA from 1 species
UCUUAGGUAAUUCAAUGCCUGACCAAGAUCGUAUGUUACCAUCUCUCUACAACUUAUAAUAGGUAGGGUUACGUGAUCCCUUCGAAAAGGACUGUGCAAUCGAUGUGCCAGCACUAGCGGUCAUACAUUUAGUCCAAGUCAACCUCCUAACUGGUUAAGACUGAAAUUGUGAACUCAAUCGGUAGUACAGACGAGUAUCAACCUUCCGUGUCGAAUAAGUCGCACUUCCCACAUUGUAACUAUCCUUGUGUCGGUAAAAUGACUUCAACACAAAGUAUGCAAAUAAAAAGGAUAAAUCUCGUUAUACAGUCAGUAAGUGUAAUGUUUAAACUAGGAUUAGAUACCCUACUAUUUUCACCGUAAUUUGUGUCCGAACGUUACCAGAGGAGCAACAGCUAAGGUCUGUAAAAUUAUCCACGUGUGACAGUCUAACUUCCAACCAGAGACUUAUGCCACUAAUCGAAACUGCCCGCCUAUCUUACCCUUCCUAAUAUCUUGUACACCGCUGUCAGCUAGUCAGAGGAUAACCUCUAUCUCAUUCUAUGAAAGAGAGUAAAGUCAAGUCAAGGUGCAGACCAUGGAAAGGGAACCAGGUGUAAGUCAAUCAGAUGUGUAAUCAAACGAUACAAUGUAUGAACUUAUGCACUGUAAAGACGAAUUUGGCAGUAAAUGUGAGCUCAUAAUGUCACGUUGAACAGGUACAGUUAGAGGUACAAAUCGCCCGUCAUUCC